rnacentral:rRNA from 1 species
AUUGAACGCUGGCGGCAGGCUUAACACAUGCAAGUCGAGCGGAGCGAGGGUGCUUGCACCUUAGCUUAGCGGCGGACGGGGGAGUAAUGCUUAGGAAUCUGCCUAUUAGUGGGGGACAACAUUCCGAAAGGAAUGCUAAUACCGCAUACGCCCUACGGGGGAAAGCAGGGGAUCUUCGGACCUUGCCCUAAUAGAUGAGCCUGGGUCGGAUUAGCUAGUUGGUGGGGUAAUGGCCCACCAAGGCGACGAUCCGUAACUGGUCUGAGAGGAUGAUCAGUCACACUGGAACUGAGACACGGUCCAGACUCCUACGGGAGGCAGAAGUGGGGAAUAUUGGACAAUGGGCGAAAGCCUGAUCCAGCCAUGCCGCGUGUGUGAAGAAGGUCUUCGGAUUGUAAAGCACUUUAAGUCGGGAGGAAGGGCUGUAGGCUAAUACCUUGCAGUUUUGACGUUACCGACAGAAUAAGCACCGGCUAACUUCGUGCCAGCCGCCGCCGUAAAAC